rnacentral:rRNA from 1 species
AGCUGCGGAAAUUUAACCGUGCUAAGGUAGCAUAAUCAUUAGCCUCUUAAUUAGAGACUCGUAUGAACGGUGAAACAUUUCAAUUACUUUAUUAAUUAACUUUAUCAAACUUAAACCAAGAAUAAAAAUGUUCUUAUAAAUUAAUUAGACGACAAGACCCUUUUGAACUUUACUAUUGUUUAGCUGGGGUAGCUAUAAAAUAUUAAUCUUCUUAAUUUUAUUUAUAUAAAUGACCCAAUUCAAUUGAUUAUUUGAACAAGUUACCAUAGGGAUAACAGCGUAAUAUUUUUUAAAAGUUCUUAUUUAAAAAAAUGAUUGCGACCUCGAUGUUGAAUUAAUGUAACUUUAUUGAUGAAGUAAUCAUAAAAGUUGGUCUGUUCGACCAUUAAAACAUUACGUGAUCUGAGUUC